AUUAUUUCUGAGAACAUGGAGGGGGCAAGGUCAUGCUGACAAUUUGCAUUGAUUAAAUCACAUUUGGGUGUGAUGGAGCCUUCCUCUUCCUGUUUACCUAUAUUCUUCAUGACCUUCCUUGUCUUGCAGAUAACAGUACUCACCCAAGCUAUGAGCUUGGAUAUACAGAUUAACAUUCAGGUUUCCGAUACAGACGGGGUGCUGUUGGAGUGUACUUCAGGAAAUUUUAUCCCACCUGCUGAGAUGGCAUGGAGAGACAGCAAGGGUAAUAUAAUACCACACUCAACCAAAUUUGAGUCUCAGAAUAGAACUGGAUUGUUGUAUUUGAAGAGCAGAAUUCUUCUGAAGAACAGAACCCAAGGUCCUAUUACUUGCUACAUUUACAGUGAAACUACUGAUCAGGAGAAAAAGAGAAGUAUUGUCCUACCAGAUGUCCUGUUCAAACCGGAAUAUAUGUCAUUGAUGUCAAACAAAUUUUCAUCUCCUGUAAUAUAUUUAAUCAUUAUACUUUUUCUUAAUGUUCUUAGAGGAAUACUUGAUUUUUGUUGUUUCAAAGGAAAACCUCUUUAUUUCAGAAAACUAAUGAAUAAACUAAAGAAAGAUUUGAAUAAUAAAAUGGGAACUGGCUAUGAGCUUAUCUGUGAGUGUCUUCUGUUACUUUUGUAUAUUGGCUUCCUCCCUCUCUACUUGAAGUUCAGGAGCAGAACUUCUAUUUUGGAUGAUAUAUACCCAUUUUAUAGUAAAUGGCUGUGGGACAUUUGCAUAGCCUUGAUUGUAAUAAUGAUAUUUUUCACUGGACUCAUUUUGAUUCUACUUUGGACCCUGAACCGUUAUGGCCAAAAGUCUUAUGAACGUUCGUCAAGUAUGGAUCUUUCGACACAUCACUCUGAGCAAAAUAGUUCUAAAUCUUCUGAGAAAAAUAAUGAAGAGAUUGAAAAUGUUUCAGUGAACUUGUGCAGAGGUAAUAUUUAGUCAGCACCAAGAAAAUUGUGAAGAGGAUAGCUUUAGUCCUUAAGACUGGAUUUCAGAUUACACUCUCAACUGGGAAACUUGA